rnacentral:rRNA from 1 species
AGCGCAACCCUUAUCGUUAGUUGCCAGCGGAUAAUGCCGGGGCCUCUAGCGAGACUGCCACCGUAAGGUGUGAGGAAGGUGGGGAUGACGUCAAAUCAGCACGGCCCUUAUGUCCAGGGCUACACACGUGCUACAAUGGCCAGUACAAAGGGCAGCUACCUGGUGACAGGAUGCUAAUCUCUAAAGUUGGUCUCAGUUCGGAUCGAAGUCUGCAACCCGACUUCGUGAAGCUGGAUUCGCUAGUAAUCGCAUAUCAGCCAUGAUGCGGUGAAUACGUUCCCGGGCCUUGUACACACCGCCCGUCAAACAAUGGAAGCCGGGGGUACCUGAAGUCUGUAACCGCAAGGAGCGGCCUAGGGUAAAACUGGUAACUGGUGUUAAGUCGUAACAAGGUAGCCGUACCGGAAGGUGUGGCUGGAACACCUCCUUU